rnacentral:tRNA from 1 species
GCCGGUGUGGCGGAAUGGCAGACGCGACGGACUCAAAAUCCGUUUCCUGAGAGGGAGUGGGGGUUCGAGUCCCUUCACCGGCA